GGUAUAGCAGCCGCACACACCUUGUUGGAUUUAAAUCUGUGGAUUUAUUCCAUGUGAGCGCCAGAGACUGAGAACGAGGAUGUGAGUACCUGGCUAGCCUUUCACCUCGUGUAUUCGAGAAGGAUGAGGAGCGAAGCAAUGGGGCAGAGAGUCAGCGAGCCAGCGAGUCAGCAGUGGACGCUCUUAAUAUACAGCAGAAGAAACAAGCCUGGGAGGAAAUGUGCUGAAAUGGAGAGUUGUGAGCUGAGGUGGGCCAGACAUCAGCUCACGACAUUGUUGGAACACGCGGUGUUGCCGCUUCUUCCAUGUGAAGAGCGUAUGGCUUGAGAUACCGGUUUGCGCGCGCAUUUCUCUGCUGUGGCGUGUUUUGUGGCUCCUCGCUGAACACUUCUAUCUCUUGACGCUGUGAGUUAGGCUACUUUGACGGUGACUUGAACACUACCACACUGGGCUGCUGUGUGUGUGAGGAAGGUGUGGUGGAGCUGUGAAGUGUGGCUGAGGUGGUGGAGGGAAGCAAGCUGUGCGUUACCCUACAACCACCACCACCGCCGCCAUGUCAUCUUCGUCUUCUUCCUUCUCUUUAUUCUUUUCCUCCUUUCCCUCCGCUGACGUGUGUGUGGUGUUCCUUGACCGCCGUCAUGAGAAAGAGAAUAUGCAAGGUAGGUACAGCUCCUACUUGCGCAGGCUUUGACGUCAAAAUUUAAUGUAAUCAGUGUGUGUGAGUGUGUGUGUGUGUGUGUGUGUGUGUGGAAGAAACGGGAUCAUAACCGAAAACCAUAUGCAUAAUAUGCUAUACUAAUUUAUUAUGUAAGUUGAGUACUCCUCACACAUACUCAACACACAUCUUCAGUACGUACGUAUGUAUGUUCCUCUCAUCAUCAUUGUGAUGUACAGCUUACUGUAUAUUAUGAGAAAGAAUAAAUGAUUGACUGACUGACUACUACUACUACUACCAGUCUAAUAGCACAGGAAUAAAGUAAAACACUACUACUACUAUCAGUCUAAUAGCAUAGGAAUAAAGUAAAACAGUGAAUAAGUGUAAGAAAAGGAAAGUAAUUUUUAAAAUUGAAUGGUGUUUAAGUGAAUUGUUGAUAAGCUUGAUUAAUAAGAAAGGAAUACAUGUGAAGUAAGAAACAAUAAAUUAAGUCAUAGUAA